ensembl:lncRNA
AUGGUAUGUAUAUAUGUAAUCAAUGCCAGCUUGAAGUUACAACUAUUCAGGUUUUUUUAUGUAUUUUUUUUAAUUGCAGCGACCAAAAAGAAGACUGAGGUUGCUGGCACUGGGGGAGGGCCACCACCAGCCAGCUUCACUCCUGCAGAGGAGCUGGCUUUGGAAAUUAAUAAGGGGAGGCCCGUCCUUGAGGGAAUAGAGGGGGGGACAUCAUCUAAAAUGAUAUCACGUAGUAUAAGGAGUGAGUAUAUAAAAGAUUCUGUAUGCUUUAUGGAUCCACCAGACAUCAUGUUGCCUGUGAGUAUGAGACCUUUUAAAUCAGUCAUGUAUGCUAAUGAGUUUAACUGAGUUUAAUCAGUGGUCACAGGGAGAAGGCCCAUCAGUUGAGGAGGAUAAGGAGACUGUGUCUGUAUGUUCAAGGAGGCCUGAGGUAGUCACAGGUUCCAUGUGAUACUGUAUUGAAUAUUAAAAAGUGUACUUGUUUGAUAAAAUGAUCAUAAUGUGUUUUCAGGAUGCUGACACUGCUCUAGAGCCCUCUCAGUCUGGGACCACAUGUGACAAAAGUGAGUAUUAAGAAAUGAAAACAAUGUGACAAGAGUAUUCAAUGAAAUAACUUAAAUCUAUGUUGCUACAGAACCCAGAAAACAUAAAAGGAGUGUAUAAACGCUACCUCCUUAAACAAAUGGAAGCGAUUGAUAUCGACAUCCAGUAUAAAAAAAACUGAAGAUGAGGAAGUUGGAGCUGGAAAUUCAACAGCUACAGAAAAAUGCAAGUAAAAAAAAAAAAAAAAAAAAAAAAAAAAAAAAAAAAAACACAUUACCUUUUUGAUGGUGUCUCGUAUAAGUCUGCCUGUUUCGUUUUCUUCCAAUACUGCUUCAUUGCCCCAGUCUUCCUCUUCAACAAUCCUUGGUUGCCUCUCUCUCCUCAGACAAGCAAUGUUAUGCAGCACUACACAAGCAACUACAAUGUCACAUGCCCUAGGUGGAGUCACUCUGAGGUGCUUCAGGCACUGAAACCUUGACUUUAUCAGCCCAAAUGCCAUCUCUAUACGACCACUUGUGCGUGCAUGGGCAAUGUUGUAGCGGUGCUGUGCCUCUGUCUGGGGCUCCUGAUAGGGAGUCAAGAGGUAAGGCAGGCAUGGGUAUCCCUUGUCUCCCAGCAAAACUCCUGAGAAUUCUCCUGCAUAGACAGAAUGAAUAUAUAUAGAUAUAUAAUGUAGUUUUUUUUCUUCUUUUUUUUUAAGACUUUUUGCGAUUUAAGUGAUUACUAGCAUACCUCUUGCUAGUUGCUGGUAGAGAGAUGAGGCUCUAAAGAUUCUGGAGUCAUGCACAGAGCCUGGCCAUUUGGCCUCUACAUUUGCGAUGAUGCAAUCUGCAUCACUAAUCCUCUAAAAUAAAUUAAACCUGUAGGUCA